GUGACCCGGAUGACCGACAACAUCCAUAGACAUCAAGUCAACGUGUGAGCACUUCCGGGGUGGGGCUUACGUUUGACUGACAGCCCUGCGGACCAAUCACCGCGCCCUUCCCGCCAAACUGGCUCCACUGUAGAAGUGACAAUGGCGUAGCAGAGGAGCGGCAGGGGACGCCUUUUGUUCCCGGACUCCCUUUGCCGCUUUCCUCUUCUGCGGGGAAGCUCUGUGUUUCAUUCCUCGACGGGGUUUAGUCGUGUGACGAGACAGGAAGCGAAGAAAGCGGACGGUGUGACCGUGGAAGAAGAAGAAGUCCUUCAGCCAUUGUUUAGCAGUGUGUGCUAACAUCUUCCUCAUCCUCAUCCUCCUCUGCAGCAUCCUUCUUCUGCAUCAUCAUCAUCAUCACUUUCAGGAUGGACGCCCGAUCCAGACUGGACGGACUCCACUGGGACCGCCGCUGCCUCGCCGGUCUGUGGUGAACUGUGAACAUGACCUCCAUGGGGAGGUCAGGGCCUGAGGGAGGGGGGUUUCUUCAGCCCCCCUCCAGAGUGAGGAUGUCGGGUCCAACAUAGUUUGUUUUAUUUCAAUCGUUUUUCCUGUAAAGACACAAAAUGCUGUAGCGACUCAUCAUCAACAUCAGUGCUGCCUCCCAGCCAACAUGAUGCUAAGCAGCAGAAACACAAUUAAUGAUCUCUGGGCAUCUGCUGUGAUUUUUUUUGUUGUCAUCUUCUUUGCUAGAACCGGAAUUAGUCUCCUGGUUUGGUGGUCUUUUGACAUCCACACCCCGUCUCAUGAUGCUGAGCCAGGCCGCCUUUUCCUGAUUUGAAAAAGGUACUUUUGUAUGAGAAGCGAUGCGGGAUGUGUGCAAUAUUCAAUCUAAACUGUCAUGUUGUUGAGCAAGCUGUAUAUUGUGUAAACGAGUGACACGUUGUUUGACAAAGCAACAAAAUCACCAACGUCUUCCAUUAAAGAUUUGUAUAGUCUCACAUUAGAGCUCAUUGCAGGCCCUCUAGAACGUAGUCAGCAUGCAUGGAUUUAUGCUUCCUGGCCAGUAGUGAGCACAAACAACACUUUUGGACUUUUUAGGGAUGUUUUCAAACUUAAAAUCAACCUAUUUUUUAUCCAAAUGGGUCUGGAAUUAUUUAGUUUCAGCUCACACGGUCCCACAAAAAAAACCCCCAGUGUACCUUAAUGCAUCACAGUAAGCCAUGUGACGUUUUCUUUUCCUAUUGGCUCAUUAACGGCAAGAAUGACAUCACUAUCAUAAACAGGAAGAAGGCACGUCGUUAACGCAGCAAACACGUCCUUUAUUGAUAACUUCAACAAACAUAAGAAUGUACCAGCAGACCAAAGUAUUUACAGUAAGUAGCCGAGCAUUUAAUUAAAAAGGACGUCACCGAGAAAUUGUUGUCUUUCACACACCAGAAAGAUGAAGUGACAUUACCAUGAAUUGAUGAAGGUGGACCCCGACUUAAACAAGUUGAAGAACUUAAUCGGGUGUUACUGCUGAAAAUUGUACUUUUCCUGAAGGAACUCUCCUGACAGAAUAAAUAAAGUACUAUCUAUCUAUCUACUGUGAACUGUGCAAUCUGCUAAUACAAGUUUCAAUCAAUCAAUCAAUCAAAACGUAAACGACAUCCGUGCUGUUUUUUUGAUGAGUCAGGCGGUCGGUUUGCUUCCAUUCCUCUUUUUAGUGUGUUAGAGGUUUAUUCCUCAACAACUAUAUCCUUAUCUAUACAAUUAUGCUUAACAGUGUUAUAAUCAUUCAAGUUGUAAAAAAACAAAUAGUUUUUGCAGUUUCAUUUACUACUCAGACCUUCUUCCUGUUUGUCGUAGGUCACGUGAUGUUGUUCUUUUUGCGAAGGAACGUCGCAUAUUUACCUUAUUUGUAACUUCACUAUUAAUAAACUAGAGUAUUUGGUUAAACCAGGAGUGUCCAAAGUGCAGCCCGGGGGCCAUUUGUGGCCCGCAGCUAAUCCUUUACCGGCCCGCCACACAUUCUGGAAAAAUUGCAAAAUUGAUAGUAUUGCAAAAAUUUUAAAAAACAUUAAAAAAAGUGAAAUGAGGUGAAAUCUAAUGAGAAAAAGUGGCAAUGUUGACACAAAGCUGCCAUGCAGGCAGUUUUUUUUGUUCCUUUUGUCUUUAUUUUAUUUUCUUUCCAUUGCUCAAAAAAAAAGACAAAAAAAUCUGUUAUAAUGAAUUAUUACUUAAAAAUUAUCACUUUAAAAAAUAUUGCAAUGUUGUGUGGUUGCCAUAUAAAAACAUCAGUUUGACAAAAGAGCAUAAAACAAACAAAAUAAUAGUUCAAACUUAAAAUUGACAGAUAUAUUAGAAGUUGAUCUUGAAAUUUAAGUGUUAAAAGAAAAAAACAAAUAAAAAUGCAUCACUUUAUGAGUGGGGAACCUUUCGGAUCUCAAAUAUAUUUAGUAGGAUUUUAUUGAACUUUUCACUGUGAUUACUCAUAAAUAUGAAAUAAUUAAAAUCAAUGGUGUCCUGCAUUAUUGAUCUUUGAGGGCUUUAAUUGCUAAAUAAAGGAACUCUCCUGAAGAAAUCAAUAAAGUACUAUCUAUCUAUCUAAAUACUGCAUAUUUCAGUUUUACUAUAAAAAACAAAAUUGUCUUUGACAAAAAAGGCAUAAAACCUUAUUUGUUUUACUUUAUAUCAACCUCAAGUUGAUAUAGAGAUUUACUGUCAGCAUUAAAUUAAAAAAAUUAUAAUAAUUUAACUUAUUUUUAACAUUUUAAUGACUGAGACCCUCUAUGCUCCCCAAAAUCCAUAUAUUUUGUUAUGGUUCGAAAAUGAAAAAUAUCAAAAUGGCCCCCGCAUGUUUACAUUUUUUCCGUGUGCGGCCCUCUGUGGAAAAAGUUUGGACACCCCUGGGUUAAACCAUUCAUUCUUCUUUUCUAAGGGGUUAAUGCCGCGGGAUUAUUUACCCGAUUCUGCUUAACAGUUCAAAUAAUUGUUUCGAGGUGUCAAAAAGCCAAAUGGUCUUCCUGUUUACUUCAUGACGUCGACCAAUGGGAGAAGAGAGCGAUGUCACAUGGCUCGGUCGGAGAGAAUUGUCGUCAUUUAUUACGUCAACAGAGCCGAAAUACAUUGUCGAUUUAUUUCAUGUAAAAUAACAUUUAAUUAUUCAAUUAAUAAUUGAUUAAAUGUUUAUUAUUGUCACAUAAUUGAUACACAGGUAAUCAUUUAAUUUAGUCUCAUUUGAGCAAAAUAUACCCAUUUUUAAGUGUGAAAGCAUCCCAUAAAUAUUUGCCCCUAAAAAAAAAAAGGUAUAAUCUAAAUGUGAUAUGAGAAUAUAAUUAAAAUAACUGAUGCAUGUUUAAUAAUUAGUGUAUUUAAAGAAGGUUCUAUUCCAAAAAGUAUUUUAAUUGCAGCAAUAUUCAUUCACUAGAAUUUAAAAAAGUAUAAUUCCCCCCUCCUGGUGGCAUCGUGUUGUGUAAAACAAGCCCACUGUUUUGCAAACAAAUCCAUCAAAUUGUACAGGAUUAGGCUUGUAGAAGUACUAAUAAUGCAUGAGUAUAGUGUUGUACUCCCUCUUGUAGCUCCAUAUAAUCACAUCUUUAUCCCUGUAGAUAAAUGUUUGUUUUACUUUAGUUGUUACAAAACAUGUCCCAUCAUUCCAGAAAGAAGCACUUUUAUAUGUACUGCCUUGCACUCUCUUUUAAAAUAAGGCUUUGAAGGACUUUUGAAGGGGUUUUUUUGCGAGUAGGCACAUAGUAGCAGUAAUAUGAAGUUAAUAAAACAAACAUAUGCAUGGGUUAGCAGACAUGAUUGUAAUGCAUGCAAUAAUACAACUUUGUCACGUGAAUGAGGAUGCGUGUUUGUAAACGUAGCAGGCAUGUUGUAGCUUUUCUUCCUCUCCCAAAAAGGCGCACAAAAAAAGUGUCGACAAAAUGAAGAUGAGGAUAUUGUCGACUGACUCUGUAAAAGUGAAAAAAAACUAUGCACUCCAGAAUGAUGUGAGGGGGCAUGCUUGUAGCAACGUUAGCAUCUUGAAGGGGUUUUCUACAAACAAAUGAAGACUCUGUAUUAGAAACGCAGCAAUAAUAACUAUCAUGUAAUAAUAAAAAUGCAGCAUGGUGCCAACAACAA